GACGAAGGGGGCUAGCGUUGUUCGGAAUUACUGGGCGUAAAGCGCGCGUAGGCGGCUCUUCAAGUCAGGCGUGAAAGCCCCGGGCUUAACCCGGGAAUAGCGCUUGAUACUGUUGGGCUUGAGUCCGGGAGAGGAUAGUGGAAUUCCCAGUGUAGAGGUGAAAUUCGUAGAUAUUGGGAAGAACACCAGUGGCGAAGGCGGCUAUCUGGACCGGAACUGACGCUGAGGCGCGAAAGGCGUGGGGGAGCAAACAGG
rnacentral:rRNA from 1 species